rnacentral:tRNA from 1 species
GGUAGCUCAGGGGUAGAGCGCAUGCUUGGCGUGCACGAGGUCCUGGGUUCAAACCUCAGUACCU